rnacentral:lncRNA from 1 species
ACUAACACUGUUGGGUUAGGGGAUAGGAAUAGGGAUAGGCCCUUAUCCCCUUUAUACCCAAACGCUAAUUUUUUAUUCGAGAACAGUAAUUCUCGGUUACCUAUAAUAGUCGGUUAUAACUAUCCUCAUCAACACCUCCAUUUUUUAUAUAAAACUACCUAAUAUUUUUCUUAUUCCAUAUUAUCUAUCCAAACGCUAUUUUUUCAUCUCCGGGAACAACCCAAUUUUCAUCCAAACGUUAUUUUUUUUUAUUCCCAUACUUGUACUUAUCCCUGUAAUAGCUGGUUCUUGCUUAUACCCGAACCAAACGGUAGUGUAUAAGUAGCAUUUUCUUUAACAAUUGACCUACAUAU